AAUGCGAUAAGUAAUGUGAAUUGCAGAAUUCAGUGAAUCAUCGAAUCUUUGAACGCACCUUGCGCUCCUCGGUAUUCCGUGGAGCAUGCCUGUUUGAGUGUCAU
rnacentral:rRNA from 1 species